rnacentral:rRNA from 1 species
GGUUAAGCGACUAAGCGUACACGGUGGAUGCCCUGGCAGUCAGAGGCGAUGAAGGACGUGCUAAUCUGCGAAAAGCGUCGGUAAGGUGAUAUGAACCGUUAUAACCGGCGAUGUCCGAAUGGGGAAACCCAGUGCAAUUCGUUGCACUAUCGUUAACUGAAUACAUAGGUUAACGAGGCGAACCGGGGGAACUGAAACAUCUAAGUACCCCGAGGAAAAGAAAUCAACCGAGAUUCCCCCAGUAGCGGCGAGCGAACGGGGAGCAGCCCAGAGUCUGAAUCAGCUUGUGUGUUAGUGGAACGGUCUGGAAAGUCCGACGGUACAGGGUGAUAGUCCCGUACACCAAAAUGCACAGGCUGUGAACUCGAAGAGUAGGGCGGGACACGUGGUAUCCUGUCUGAAUAUGGGGGGACCAUCCUCCAAGGCUAAAUACUCCUGACUGACCGAUAGUGAACCAGUACCGUGAGGGAAAGGCGAAAAGAACCCCGGCGAGGGGAGUGAAAAAGAACCUGAAACCGUGUACGUACAAGCAGUGGGAGCACCUUCGGGUGUGACUGCGUACCUUUUGUAUAAUGGGUCAGCGACUUAUAUUCUGUAGCAAGGUUAACCGUAUAGGGGAGCCGCAGGGAAACCGAGUCUUAACUGGGCGUUAAGUUGCAGGGUAUAGACCCGAAACCCGGUGAUCUAGCCAUGGGCAGGUUGAAGGUUGGGUAACACUAACUGGAGGACCGAACCGACUAAUGUUGAAAAAUUAGCGGAUGACUUGUGGCUGGGGGUGAAAGGCCAAUCAAACCGGGAGAUAGCUGGUUCUCCCCGAAAGCUAUUUAGGUAGCGCCUCGUGAAUUCAUCUUCGGGGGUAGAGCACUGUUUCGGCUAGGGGGUCAUCCCGACUUACCAACCCGAUGCAAACUACGAAUACCGAAGAAUGUUAUCACGGGAGACACACGGCGGGUGCUAACGUCCGUCGUGAAGAGGGAAACAACCCAGACCGCCAGCUAAGGUCCCAAAGUCAUGGUUAAGUGGGAAACGAUGUGGGAAGGCACAGACAGCCAGGAUGUUGGCUUAGAAGCAGCCAUCAUUUAAAGAAAGCGUAAUAGCUCACUGGUCGAGUCGGCCUGCGCGGAAGAUGUAACGGGGCUAAACCAUGCACCGAAGCUGCGGCAGCGACACUAUGUGUUGUUGGGUAGGGGAGCGUUCUGUAAGCCUGCGAAGGUGACCUGUGAGGGUUGCUGGAGGUAUCAGAAGUGCGAAUGCUGACAUAAGUAACGAUAAAGCGGGUGAAAAGCCCGCUCGCCGGAAGACCAAGGGUUCCUGUCCAACGUUAAUCGGGGCAGGGUGAGUCGACCCCUAAGGCGAGGCCGAAAGGCGUAGUCGAUGGGAAACAGGUUAAUAUUCCUGUACUUGGUGUUACUGCGAAGGGGGGACGGAGAAGGCUAUGUUAGCCGGGCGACGGUUGUCCCGGUUUAAGCAUGUAGGCUGGUUGUCCAGGCAAAUCCGGAUAAUCAAGGCUGAGGUGUGAUGACGAGGUACUACGGUGCUGAAGUAACAAAUGCCCUGCUUCCAGGAAAAGCCUCUAAGCAUCAGGUAACAUCAAAUCGUACCCCAAACCGACACAGGUGGUCAGGUAGAGAAUACCAAGGCGCUUGAGAGAACUCGGGUGAAGGAACUAGGCAAAAUGGUGCCGUAACUUCGGGAGAAGGCACGCUGGUGUGUAGGUGAAGUCCCUGCGGAUGGAGCUGAGACCAGUCGAAGAUACCAGCUGGCUGCAACUGUUUAUUAAAAACACAGCACUGUGCAAACACGAAAGUGGACGUAUACGGUGUGACGCCUGCCCGGUGCCGGAAGGUUAAUUGAUGGGGUUAUCCGUAAGGAGAAGCUCUUGAUCGAAGCCCCGGUAAACGGCGGCCGUAACUAUAACGGUCCUAAGGUAGCGAAAUUCCUUGUCGGGUAAGUUCCGACCUGCACGAAUGGCGUAAUGAUGGCCAGGCUGUCUCCACCCGAGACUCAGUGAAAUUGAACUCGCUGUGAAGAUGCAGUGUACCCGCGGCAAGACGGAAAGACCCCGUGAACCUUUACUAUAGCUUGACACUGAACAUUGAGCCUUGAUGUGUAGGAUAGGUGGGAGGCUUUGAAGCGUGGACGCCAGUCUGCGUGGAGCCAACCUUGAAAUACCACCCUUUAAUGUUUGAUGUUCUAACGUUGGCCCCUGACCGGGGUUGCGGACAGUGUCUGGUGGGUAGUUUGACUGGGGCGGUCUCCUCCCAAAGCGUAACGGAGGAGCACGAAGGUUAGCUAAUCCUGGUCGGACAUCAGGAGGUUAGUGCAAUGGCAUAAGCUAGCUUGACUGCGAGCGUGACGGCGCGAGCAGGUGCGAAAGCAGGUCAUAGUGAUCCGGUGGUUCUGAAUGGAAGGGCCAUCGCUCAACGGAUAAAAGGUACUCCGGGGAUAACAGGCUGAUACCGCCCAAGAGUUCAUAUCGACGGCGGUGUUUGGCACCUCGAUGUCGGCUCAUCACAUCCUGGGGCUGAAGUAGGUCCCAAGGGUAUGGCUGUUCGCCAUUUAAAGUGGUACGCGAGCUGGGUUUAGAACGUCGUGAGACAGUUCGGUCCCUAUCUGCCGUGGGCGCUGGAGAAUUGAGGGGGGCUGCUCCUAGUACGAGAGGACCGGAGUGGACGCAUCACUGGUGUUCGGGUUGUCAUGCCAAUGGCACUGCCCGGUAGCUAAAUGCGGAAGAGAUAAGUGCUGAAAGCAUCUAAGCACGAAACUUGCCCCGAGAUGAGUUCUCCCUGAGACUUUAAGUCUCCUGAAGGAACGUUGAAGACGACGACGUUGAUAGGCCGGGUGUGUAAGCGCAGCGAUGCGUUGAGCUAACCGGUACUAAUGAACCGUGAGGCUUAACCUU